UGGUUUCGCAAUGGAGCUAGAAAGAUUGGUCAACUACUUCUUAAACCCAAGCAAGCUACUUUGACUACUUUACCUAGCCCAAGCCAGACUUCAAACUUACUUUCUCUAUUUAGCUCUUAAGCCUUUUUCUACCGACCGAACAUGAAGAAGCUCACGGAAGAAGUAAGUCAUUACGGUUGGCAGGGAUUGACUUUCCGUUGAAGUAUUUUCUUACCUGUUGUAUAGAAGUCUUCGUUUCAGUCCUCCUAGUGGCCAUUGCUCCUAGUAUGAGUAGUUGUGAUGGGCUGCGAGUUCCCGGGGUGACGAGCCUUUAGCAUCCAGAUUGGGCAAUACGAGAUAGAUUGAUUUACUUCGAGGAUAGUCUUUCUUUUCCAAGCGAGAAAGUGCAAGUGUUUCUAUUUUCACAAGUGAAGAUAUUGAAAAGCAUAUCCGAAAGCAAAGAAAUAUUACCUGGGCGUUGUACGCCCUUCUUGUUUUUGAAUCACGGAAAUGCGGAGGUUUUAAUUAGUGCUUACCUGCAGUCCACCCUUUCUUUGAACCUUGUCAAUGAUCGAAUUUACAGAUAUGAACUGAGUGCCAUUUGAUGAGUAAGAUCGAACAAGGGAGAGGGAUAUGGAAAGGAUGAAGUAAUGAAAGAGGAAGUCAUUGCUAGUAGUAACGACUUGUCACGAUCCAUUGGUUCAUAUAGAAUCCAUGUCCUAGGUCUAUCAAAAAACAUUCUUUUCACUAAGCGUAUAUAAUAAAAUAGAGUGAAAGGGUCCACCCCGAAACCAAGGGGGUACUAACUAACAGCUGAGUCCUCUCCGAACCGCAGGAGAUAGUUGCCCAUCAUACGGCUCACCAACUUCACUUGCCUCUAAGGGGGGCUCGCUCCGGGCGGGUUCGGAUCACUUACUAUACACGGCCCUACGAAGGGGUUAGGAGCGUUUUCAAGAUGAUUCUUUCUUUGUCGAGACGAAAAAGGUCUUUUCGAUUUCAAAAUGUGAGUCUGUUUUGCCCACUUUAUCCAUCCCCCUCUAUCAAAAUGAUCAAAAAGGCAUUUAAAAUGCUUCUUAUUCCCGUGUUUGAUCUUAUCCAUCUCUGCCCCGCUUCCAUGUGGGCAGAGACCCCUGUAGAGAAUGAAGAGGAGCCAAGGAUCUUACUCUCAAGAGUGCUUCGAUAGGCUCCACUCUCUCCCCUGAAUAAGUCAGGCUCCGUUAGCCUGGGCUGAGAUGGGGAUAACGAGUCGACGAUUGAAGCCCCCAACGUUCUGCCAGACACUGGACAGGGGUAAGCUCUGUAAAUGUGUAGAGCCAAGUGUAGUGUGGUGUAGUAGUAGGCACUUCUAGGCCCCUUCCCGGCUACUGGAUCACUCCAGUGCUUCGGGUACUACGGACCCUCUGCCAUCCAUUGCAGCAGAGCCGUUUCAUGAGCGGGGGGGCUAAGCGCAGUUCUUUGAAUCAAAGGUUUUAUGAAAUCGAAAUCGAUUCUUUUUUAGAUAUCUGGAUAGAUGGAUGGAUCUAUCUUGAUAUUCAGAUAUCUUUUGCAAUCAGCCCCAAAUCCUUGAUUUGGCCAGGAAACAAAGCACUGCUUUGGGCCCAGGAAGCGAAGGGAAUGAGCUCGGCUGCUUCUCCUCCACACUUCUUUAUUUCUCCGUGCCCCUUCCGCAUGCGCUUCGCGCGCCAUUGGCGCUUUGCUCUCCUCUUAUUUCUUCAUUGGAGGGUUCGGAUGGACUUCGCCGUUCUUUCCCAACGAAAAUGGAAAGGGCUGUAUCACAUCGAGAUGUCGAUUCGUUUUCCGCCCCAAAUGAGAUGGGGAAUUAGUCACCUCUGUCCCUUCAUCUUUAUGAAAGGAAUCAAGGCCCGGCCCGGCUCGCGUCGUUCCAACAACCGACGGGGAGCACCUCAGUAUACGAUCGCGCGCAGUAACUGGGAGUCCUAUUACACCUAAGGCCAACUUCCAUUCACCAAACCCAGGUUCAUCUCGUGUAGUGAUUGUGGACUCGUACAAGGAUAUGGAGUCGACGGUUGAUGUAUCAGACUCGACCCUGUCUUUCGUAGCAUGCAUUCCCAUCUGUGUUGCAACUGAUUCGGUAAGCUACGUGUCUGGUGCACGGAAAACUGCCUUCGGUCUCCCAACCUUACUCAUGGCAACCUUCCGGCCGCCCAACAACCUAUAACGCUAGUCACUACUCCCACUGGGGCUAGGAAGUAAGCCCCACAACCCAAAGCGGCGAAGAACAAAUAGAAUUUGCUACAAAAGCCGGCUAACGGGGGUAUUCCUGCGUAUGAGAACAUUGUAAUGGAGAAGGUCAUAGCCAAAAUAGGAUUCGUUUUGGCUAGAGCGCCCAAAUCCGCUAUAUAUUUGACACGGGUUUGCCGUAAUGCUGGAACUAUGGCGAAUGCAUCUAUCGUCAUUGAUGCAUAAAUAAAUAUACCAAUUAGUAGUGAUUGAAUUCCUUCUAUGGUUCCACAUGAGAAACCAGUACGAAUAUAACCUACAUGUCCAAUCGAACUAUGAGCUAGAGGUCUUUUGACUUUCGUUUGGGCCAUGGCGGCCAGUGCUCCUAAGAUCAUAGAAGCAAUGCUGCAGAAAAAGAAGAUUUGUUGUAAUGUACCCCCAUAGGAAGCAACAAUAGAAACACGUGACAUAUUUGCAGAAAUAGAGAUUUUAGGCGCAAUAGAAAGGAAUGCUGUCACCGGGGUGGGUGAACCCUCAUAGAUAUCAGGUGCCCACAUAUAUAGAGUCAAAAGAGAGAUUGAGUCCGAGGGAGAGGGGGGUUUUCUUGGGGCUCGAGAGAUUGAAUAGAUAGGGCCCCACAAGUUGUUAAUUCGCCGCUGGGGAAUUCACACAAAAGGGAAGGACUUAUUCUCAACGAAAAAAGUGCUCUCUGAACCGAACAUGAAAGUUGUUUUCCAUCAGACGGCUGUUCACGUAACUCCACUCUCGGCUUGGAUUAUAUAUCCAUUUGGUCCGCUCCCGGCCAUUCCACACGCUGCCUAGCAGAGACGUGGUUAUCUGAAGUGGAUUCUCUCUUUUGUAGUAGAUGCCGAACCUGCUGCUCAGUGGGCGGGCGCAGCAGCUACAUGGACCCCUUUCUUUAUGUUGUUGCCAGCGCUUUCCCGGGCCGAGCCGGAAUUCUUUAUUAGAACGUCGGCAGGCAAAGCCCGAAGGAAGGCAGCUAUCCCCUCGGCCUUCUUCCUUUUCGAUGAAAAACAAACCGACAUCUCAAUCUCCGAAAGCGUUUUCCUUACCCGGAAAAUCCCCCCCCCUUCGUCGAGCCUUUCCUUUAGUGGUAAGGGAUAUGCACUUUAUCUGAACGUCGGCAGGCAUUCCGGAAUUCUCCUUUUUGGGCCCCGGGUGAACAUAGGCUCAAACAUGAUUGGAGGGGUCCUAGCUACGCCAUGCGUUCAAUACAAAAAAAAGCCUCUGGGAAGCUGCAGGGAUUACAAAAAGAGGGUGCUUUCCUGUGUUGCACUGAAAAAAGGACAAAGGAGAAGACGCUCUUCGACUUUCUUUCUUCCUCCCGCGCCCGCCUAAGCCCGGCCCGGCCCGCGUUAGAGGGGAAGAUUAGCAAAGCGGAAAAAGACAGAGGGAGGGGGAGCUGCAUCUUAUUCUCUUCGCGAGAACUUCAGGAUCGGAGAAGCAUUCGGAAGGGGCGAGGCCUUCAUUUCGUUGGCAGAAGCAGAAACGAUCCAAUCCAUUCGGGGCUUCGGGGAACCCAAAAACGAACUCUGUUUACUUUUUUCAUAGAUAGAUGAUAUAUAUAGGAAUAAUAUAUACAUCCCUUUACUUUAGAUGUCUAUGUAUCUAUUUUUUAAUCAUCUCCCGAUUAUCUUUUUUUUUCUAGUUCGCACUGCUCUUUCUCUCUAAAUUGCAUCAAAGAAAAUAGAGAGAGAGCAGAUGGAUCCUAUCCCCUAUAACGAACACUCAUUUCUAUCUAUUGAUAGAAAAGAAAGAUCUUCGUCACGGACUUUGCCUUUGUUCUAUUUUUUUUAGAUUUGAGGAAUUCCUCAUAUCCAAGGCAGCUCCCCACAAACACCCCACCCAUACGACUAUGCCCUCUUUUGAAUCGACAGUAGAUUGGGCUUCAUAGCUACUUUCAUUCUAAAGACGAAUAUUAGUCAAUAGGCAGGCUUCUUUCAGUAGCAAACAUAUUCAUUUUCACCGGGCUCCGCGCACCUUUGGUACUUCAGGAGGGCAAGCUGUUUUAUAGUGACUUCUUUCUUAGGGUAGGGCGACGAAUACUUCAAAUUCCGGAAAGGGGUCGCGAAGCUAAAGCGAAAGUUGUAGAAAGCCGGGAGAAAAAGCGAAAGCUUGCUCGAAACGGCCUAUACCCUAACCCUCGGAAGCGAAGACGCAAAGCGUCACUUUUCAAAAGGAAGGAGUGAGGCUGACUGAAUCCAUCCAUAAAACCGUCAAGGAAACGAAGUUCGUUCCCUUUCAUCAAGUGGGUAAGGUAGGCGAACCACUUAAGCUUUGCCUUAGACUGACGGAACAAAGCUAAGAAGUAGGCUGAAUGGAAAAAGGAAAGGGACAAGGGCGGUCGUCGCUUGGCGCGAAGGCUGCUGGUUCGGUACGGUACUAAAGGUCCUCGGACUUCCAGGCGGUUUUUCUUUUGGGCUGCUGGGAACCCUUGGAUCUCGCCAAUACAGCCUCCUAUGGUUUUCGUUACCGAGAUAUCUUUUCUUUUUCCCAGGGAUUUUUUGGGUAAUCAGCUCCCAUGCUGCAAACAGUCAAAUCUGAACCUUGCUGUUUACUAUAAUAACAUACCAAUAACGAAGCGGUAUUUGCUUAUAAAAAGGAUUCGAUCUAUAAUCGAUCGAAGUAAAGGGUCUUCCUUUGUGGUGAUAAAUUGCCUACUUAACUCAGUGGUUAGAGUAUUGCUUUCAUACGGCGGGAGUCAUUGGUUCAAAUCCAAUAGUAGGUAGGUAGGUAGAAAAAUUACUAGAUAGCAUUGGCCCUACUUCGCUUCGCUAUCUAAUAAUUUUUUCUACCCCUCUUCCCUUUUUCUUUGUAUC
rnacentral:lncRNA from 1 species